GAUGGGGGACGAGUUGUCCUGUCCCCUUCCAUCACUCAUGGGAUUUGGGGAUUUUUUCAUCCUGGGCACUGUGACACUGUGGUCCUGCACCUCCAGUGUUGGGGAAACCCACCAUCCCAUGUCCCCCAGGAAAGGGUUAAACCUCCGUGGGAGCAGGCAUGGACUGCAAGCCUGUGGGAAGAUCUCAUGGAAAGCUUGGAUUGUGGGGAACCCUUGGCACCAACACCUGCCCUGGUGAGGCUGGCUGUGCCACACCAGCUCUGGGCACAGUGGAUGGAGCUGCCCAGACCUGGAGCAUCUCCCACCCCCAGGAACCUUGAGAGCAUUUUGUUCUUUUCUUUCUCUCCUCGUGACACCCAUCCCACGGCAUAUCCGAAUGUUUCUCGUCGAUGCCAGUUAUUAGUGCAUAAGUGUAUUUUGGGGAAAAAAUUAAAACAGGAAAAAAAAAAACAAAAAAAAGGAAAAAAAUUUUCAAUUUAUCACUUGUAACCAUAUAUAUAAAUAUAUAAAUAUAUAUAUUAAAAAGUGUUUAUUUGCAAAAAAUAAAAUUGUUUUAACGGUAAACUAUCUUAUAAUAAACUCCCGAUUUGUGAUGAUCUGUUCUUUUGUUAAUCAUUGACAAAUCCUCAGUUGGAGAGUACUGUCUGAGCAGCUCUGAGCAGCGCCCAGGCGCUCCCUGUACUGUAUGUAUGAAACAGCUGUAUCGAAUAAAUGGUUAUUGAUUUUUUAUUAGCACUGUCGGCACCGUUAUUGGGAAGUUCGGUGGGAGGUUGGGCAUGGGAUCCAGGGGGUUUGGAUUUGUCCUUCCUGCCAGUGGCUGAGAGGAUUCCCCAGCUGGUGAGGAUGGAGCGUGUGGUCACCAGCCAUGGGGUGCCCCCAAAAACCGGGAUGGGGAAGGUGAGGGCUGGUGGUGCUUGGCACAGCCAGCACUCCUGGUGCAGGGGGAUCCCCAGUGCCCACAGCCCCACUCCCAUGGUAGAAAUCCCCCUAAAGCUGUUUCCAAUCCGCCCCUCCCACCAGCAGCAUCCAGCGUGUCCUGGCCCCGGGGGCCACAUCCAGCCCAGGACCUCUCCUCCCUGGGGACUCUGCGGGACCCGGGGCCACCCCCCGGCUCUCCCAGCGUGGGAAUAAAUCCUCUUCUGCUCCCUAAUGGCUUUUUUGGCACCGAACCCAAGGCAGGGGCGGAUUUGGAGUGACCUCGCUGCUGGCUGGGAGCGCAGCCUUUCCCCAGGGGCUCUCACCCCAAGGACGGCUGGGGACCCGGGAGCGGUGCUGGCCCCCCGAACAUGUGCUACCACAACCCUCAGCCCCGGGCCGGCCCGGCCGGGAUGCUGCAUGUCAAACCAGACCCCGGCCGGCUCCCCGGGGUCCUCCCAGCUCUGACAAUGCCCAGCGACAUUGUCGGAGCCCGGCUCACCCAAACCGCGCUCCCCACGCUGCAGGGUGAUGGGGGAUGCUGUGUGCUGCACCCCUCAGCAUCUUGGGCAGGGAUCCACCCGCAGGUACCCACAGCAUCGCCGUGAGCCCCGCAGCACCCACCCAUGCCCCGAACACCCACCCACACCUCCAAACACCCACCCGCACCCCACAGCCUCGUGCCCUACAGCACCCAGCCGUGCCCGCACAGCCCCAUCUCCCCGCACAGCCCUUACCCGUGACCGCAGCACCCCUCCGUGCCCCACCAGGGCCCCCAAAGGCCCGGUUGCCGCUGCCUCCCACCCGCACUACAAGUCCCGGGGAUCCCCGCGGCAGCGCCGCCCCCGCCGCUCCGCCUCUCCCCGCAGCGCCAUGGCCGCGGCCCCGGUGCCCGAGGGGGCUCCGGGCGAGCCGCACGACAGGCACGUGUGUCCUUCCCAGCGGGGUCACUGUGGCCCUUCCUCCCUGCAGCAGCAGCAGUGCUGAGUCCCUGGACCGGCUGUACCCCGCCGUGGGCUCCAGCAAGGCGCCCCGCAAGCGCACCACCAGCCAGUGCAAGUCGGAGCCGCCGCUGCUGCGCACCAGCAAGAGAACCAUCUACACUGCAGGCCGGCCCCCCUGGUACAACGAGCACGGGACACAGUCCAAGGAGGCCUUUGUCAUAGGCCUGGGAGGAGGCAGCGCCUCUGGGAAGACCACAGUGGCCACCAUGAUCAUUGAAGCUCUUGAUGUUCCCUGGGUGGUUCUGCUGUCCAUGGACUCCUUCUACAAGGUGCUGACCAAGCAGCAGCAGGAGCAGGCAGCCAGCAAUGACUUCAACUUUGACCACCCCGACGCCUUUGACUUCGACCUCAUCAUCGCCACCCUGAAGAAGCUGAAGCAAGGCAAGAGUGUCAAGAUCCCCAUCUACGACUUCACCACCCACAGCCGCAAGAAGGAAUGGAAAACCCUGUAUGGCGCCAAUGUGAUUAUCUUUGAAGGCAUCAUGGCAUUUGCAGACAAGGAGCUCCUGAAGCUCCUGGAUCUGAAGAUAUUCGUGGACACGGACUCGGACAUCCGCCUGGUGCGCCGCCUGCGCCGGGACAUCAGCGAGCGCGGCCGCGACAUCGAGGGCGUCAUCAAGCAGUACAACAAGUUUGUCAAGCCCGCCUUCGACCAGUACAUCCAGCCCACCAUGAGGCUGGCAGACAUCGUGGUGCCCCGAGGGAGUGGAAACACUGUGGCCAUCGACCUGAUUGUUCAGCACGUCCACAGCCAGCUGGAAGAGCGUGAACUCAGUGUCAGAGGAAGCUGCGCUGGGAUAUGGCUGCCCUGGCCUCUGCCCACCAGUGCCACCCCCUUCCUCAGACCCUCAGUGUGCUGAAGAGCACCCCUCAGGUGAGGGGCAUGCACACCAUCAUCAGAAACAAGGAGACCAGCAGAGACGAGUUCAUUUUCUACUCCAAAAGGUUGAUGCGGUUGCUGAUUGAGCACGCGCUCUCCCUGCUCCCCUUCCAGAGUUGCACAGUCCAGACCCCUCAGGGACAUGACUACGAAGGGAGGACAUACAGCGGGAAGCAAAUCACCGGGGUGUCCAUCCUGCGAGCGGGAGAGACCAUGGAGCCGGCGCUGCGCGCGGUGUGCAAGGACGUCCGCAUCGGCACCAUCCUCAUCCAGACCAACUGCAACACCGGCGAGCCAGAGCUCCACUACCUGCGGCUGCCGAAGGACAUCAGCGAAGACCACGUCAUCCUGAUGGACUGCACGGUCUCCACGGGCGCUGCAGCCAUGAUGGCAGUGAGGGUGCUGCUGGAUCAUGAUGUCCCAGAGGAUAAGAUCUUCCUGCUCUCCCUGCUCAUGGCAGAGAUGGGUGUCCACUCGGUGGCCUAUGCGUUCCCCAGGGUGAAGAUCAUCACCACGGCUGUGGACAAGAAGGUGAAUGACCUCUUUCGGAUAAUCCCCGGCAUCGGGAAUUUUGGUGAUCGGUACUUCGGGACGGACGCUCCUCCUGACUGGAGUGAUGAUGAGGAUGCUCUUAGCACUUAGCUGGAUGUGGAGGUGCCACUGGCACCAGGCAGCUUCAGCACCGCACCUUAACCCCUCUGUCCAGUGCAGAUUUCUCCUUCCUCUCACCAAGCAUAGAUAUUUUUUUCAAAUCUUACAUCGGAGAUCUAGGGCAUAUUUUUUCAGAGAAACGUAAAUCCUAGUUUGACUUUUUGGGCAGUCACAUGUCCCAGCAUAGAGCGGAGUUAAUUUAUUUUAAUUUAAAUAUUUGCCUAUAUAACUUAUUGGAGAUAUUUUAUAAAGAACAAUAAUAAAUUUUUUCUCUGGUUUUCUUGAA